AACCGAGAGAUCGGCGUUCCCCUUCGGGGGACAGGGUGACAGGUGGUGCAUGGUUGUCGUCAGCUCGUGUCGUGAGAUGUUGGGUUAAGUCCCGCAACGAGCGCAACCCUCGACCUUAGUUGCCAGCAUUCAGUUGGGCACUCUAAGGUGACUGCCGGCUAAAAGUCGGAGGAAGGUGGGGAUGACGUCAAAUCAUCAUGCCCCUUAUGACCUGGGCUACACACGUGCUACAAUGGGCGGUACAAAGGGUCGCGAACCCGCGAGGGGGAGCCAAUCCCAAAAAGCCGCUCUCAGUUCGGAUUGCAGGCUGCAACUCGCCUGCAUGAAGCCGGAAUCGCUAGUAAUCGCGGAUCAGCACGCCGCGGUGAAUACGUUCCCGGGCCUU
rnacentral:rRNA from 1 species